rnacentral:rRNA from 1 species
CCUACGGGGGGCUGCAGUUGGGAAUCUUGCACAAUGGGGGAAACCCUGAUGCAGCGACGCCGCGUGGAGGAUGACGGCUCUAGGUCUGUAAACUCCUUUUUCAUGGAAAGACUUCGGACGGUACCAUGAGAAUAAGGACCGGCUAACUACGUGCCAGCAGCCGCGGUAAGACGUAGGGUCCACGCGUUGUCCGGAUUUACUGGGCGUAAAGAGCGCGUAGGCGGCUUAUUAAGUGUGGUGGGAAAUCUCCAGGGCUCAACCCGGAAACUGCACCGCAUACUGAGAAGCUUGAGGAAUGCAGAGGUAACUGGAAUUCCUGGUGUAGCGGUGAAAUGCGUUGAGAUCAGGAGGAACACCAAUGGCGAAGGCAGGUUACUGGGCAUUAUCUGACGCUGAGGCGCGAAAGCGUGGGUAGCAAACAGGAUUAGAUACCCCGGUAGUC